rnacentral:tRNA from 1 species
GGAGGGGUGGCCGAGAGGCUUAAGGUACCGGUUUGCUAAACCGGCGUAGGGGCAACUCUACCGAGGGUUCGAAUCCCUCCCCCUCCGCCA